CAAGUCAUUUCUCAGUUAGUCGCAAGGAGGAUGCCUAUGAGUUUUUCUCCUGCACCAUCAAAGCCAUGCAACGUGCUUACUUGGAUGGCCUCACAGAGCAAGACUGUUUUCUGCUUGAUCGUCAGACUGAAGCUACAACCCUGACUCAUCAGAUUUUUGGGGGUUAUCUUAGAUCAAGGGUGCAAUGCUCAGAAUGUCAGACUAAUUCGGAUAACUAUGACUCAUAUCUGCACAUUGCCCUUGAAAUCAAG